CAGGUCACUCCUACGGGAGGCAGCAGUAGGGAAUCUUGCGCAAUGGGCGAAAGCCUGACGCAGCCAUGCCGCGUGAAUGAUGAAGGUCUUAGGAUUGUAAAAUUCUUUCACCGGGGAAGAUAAUGACGGUACCCGGAGAAGAAGCCCCGGCUAACUUCGUGCCAGCAGCCGCGGUAAUACGAAGGGGGCUAGCGUUGCUCGGAAUUACUGGGCGUAAAGGGCGCGUAGGCGGACAGUUUAGUCAGAGGUGAAAGCCCAGGGCUCAACCUUGGAAUUGCCUUUGAUACUGGCUGUCUUGAGUUCGGGAGAGGUGAGUGGAAUGCCGAGUGUAGAGGUGAAAUUCGUAGAUAUUCGGCGGAACACCAGUGGCGAAGGCGACUCACUGGCCCGAUACUGACGCUGAGGCGCGAAAGCGUGGGGAGCAAACAGGAUUAGAUACCCUGGUAGUCCACGCUGUAAACGAUGAGUGCUAGUUGUCGGCAUGCAUGCAUGUCGGUGACGCAGCUAACGCAUUAAGCACUCCGCCUGGGGAGUACGGUCGCAAGAUUAAAACUCAAAGGAAUUGACG
rnacentral:rRNA from 1 species